ensembl:lncRNA
GUAAAUGCCAUGAUGAUUCAUUUUUAAACAUUCAUUUCAAGGAAAAGUCAGAAUGACUUCAUGUUCUGGUGUGUAUUCUCAAACAGGAGAUGCUAAACAUACAAAUACAUCACACAAGUAUUUUUCUAAAAGGGUCCUGACUUUGGAAAGAAAUGCAAACAGUAGUUGUCAAGUCUGCAACCCCCUCCUCACCCCCACCACAAACACACAGACACAUACCUCUGGGACAGGAUACACACUAGUCUUGGCUACUGACACCCAGCUGAGAGCCCUUCCCAAAUGUUGACUCAAGACCCUCCUCCAUGGUUCCCUUUUCUUGCCUGGUCUACAGGGUAAACUAGAAUUGUCCUUUCUGCCUUAGGAAGUAGCUGUGGCAUUUGCAAGUUUCUUCCCAACUAGCUUUAGUAUGUUAACACUGACCUUCCCUGGGUUCAUAGGCCUUUUAGAGGUCCAGGCUGUUGUAAAUGAAACAUGAAGGUGGUCUAUGCAGCUCCUUCAUUUUAUAGGGACACUAAGGCUUAAAGAUAUACACAAGGCUACCAGAGGCAAAUAGAGAACACUGACUGGGACUCAGCCUUACUGCCAGUCGGUGUGUGUGUGUGUGUGUGUGUGUGUGUGUUUGUGUGUGUGUGUGUGGUAGUUGUUCAGUUGUGUCUGACUAUGACCUAAUGGACUGUAGCCCGCCAGGCUUCUCUGUCCACGGGAUUUUCCAGUUAAGAAUACUGGAGUGGGUUGCCAUUUCCUUCUCCAGGGGAUCUUCCCAACAUAGGGAUCAAACCCACGUAUUCUGCAUUGCUUGCUGAUUCUUUACCAUCUGAGCCACUAGGGAAACCCAGUCUUCCCUACAGAGUUCCUUUUAACUUUAGAAAAAUUCACCCAUGUGGAGUGAGGAUGAUUUAAAAAACUAAAGUAAAAUUUAAUGAUGCUGGGGAUUUGUCCAGUAUUCCUCUCCGGUUUCUGUUCUUCAAAGUAGGUGUGACUGGAGAUGUAACUCUGCAUUUCCUUUUACUGGUCUCCAUCCUCAUGUGCCUUUCUACUGUGAUCAUCUCACCGUACUGAGUGUGAUUCUAGCAUUUCAAAAUUCAUAUCUUUGAUAUAACCUGGAGCCAAGUGCAACCCAACCAUUCAUCUGGUCCUCACCCAGAGAAGACAUGAUGUGUUUCAAUACUGGGGGAAAAAAAAUCCUGGCUUUUAAAAUAAUCCACUCUGGUUUGGAAAUAUAACUUAGGUUUCUUUAUCUUUUUUUCAGUAUUUGAAAACCAAAUUCAAAAGUUUUCAUGGACAGUAUCACCAAAUUUAUAACUUGAAGUAUAUAUGGUCAAGGAAGUGAAUAAAUGAAUUAGUUUUACUUUUGCACGAUGAGGGGCGUAACUCACAGGCAGCUCCUGUAUUGGGAGAAGCACCACUGAGAAAGAAUCACUUUCUGGAAGGUAGAAGGGUGUGAUAAACAGUUUAUGGAUUUGAGUUCAGGUAGACUUAAAAUAAACUCCAUGAACUUGGGUCAGUGAGUUUCUGAAGAUUUCUAAGAUUCUUUUUCCCUAUUCCCAAUUUGGAUAAUAUACCAGAAUUUCUUAUGAAAGCCUGAAAUGAACACAGAGCAAUACAGUAGGAGCUUAGCUUUUUAUCUAUACAGUAAGUCGUGUCCAACUCAUUUGCAACCCCAUGGACUGUAGCCCGCCAGGCUCCUCUGUCCAUGGGAUUUCCCAGGCAAGAAUACUGGGGUGGAUAGCCUAUCCCUUCUCCAGUGAAUCUUUCCAACCCAGGGAUUGACUCAAGUCUCCUGAAUUGGCAAGCAUAUUCUUUUCCACUGAGCUACAAGGGAAGCCCACCUAUAUGUAUAUUAAGUAUGCCCACCAGACUCCUCUGUCCAUGGAAUUCUCCAGGGAAAAACAGUGGAGUGAGUAGGCAUUUCCUUCAGGGAAUCUUCCUGACCUAGGGAUUGAACCUGGGUCUCCCACACUGCAGGCAGAUUCUUUACCAUCUAAGCUAUCAGAGAAGCUAGCAAAUAAUAGUAUGCAGGCUAGUACAAGUAAUAAAAAAUUUAACGGAUUAUAAGGUGCAUAAAAACAAAUGUGAGAAUGUGAAAGUAUUCAGAGGAACAAUAUAGUCAAUCUUAAUACAUUGAUUUCAUAAUGGGAAACGAAUUCAUUUUUGAAUUAUCUCCGAAGUUGACAAUAUCAAGACCAGGAUUAAAACCCAUUUUUCUCUGAGUCUUUCUCCUGUGAACCUAGUUUCUUGUCAUUUCUUAAACCACAUUCUGCCUACUCGUUUGCAGAGUCCAGGUUUCCUAGUUGACUUCAUGAGUUCUGGCUGAAGAUCAGCUGUCUUUGAGAAAAUCUGAUUUGCAUGAUAUUCAAGAAAUCUACCUUCUGCAGCAGCAGCGGCUCACCUGAAAGAUACAACCCGUUUUCCUUUUCAACGGUGAAUGCAAAAACAUCAACCAUAGUCCCAUUUAUCACAGAAUUUAUAAUGUAUGUUACUGCGAUUCAUUCUUUACAUAGCUCAAAAGGACCGAGUGAUUAUCACAAAUAAGUAUUAUCUUUCUGGGAGGUCUGUUAUUUUGAGUCAUCCCUGAGAAAGGUUUUUCAAAAACCUUUUUUGCAGGAGAUGGGAAUAUUCUCACUUCUGAAGUUGUUAGGAAGGCCAAUAAUAAACAUGUAUUUGCAUUGCAAAACGUAUUUAUCCAAGCCAGAUGAAAUUUCAGACUCUUUGAGGAAACUUAGGCCCCCUGAUAUCACAAGUUGAGGAGUGAGUUCUUUAAGGUGUCUGAUCACCAGGGUUUGGAGGGAAGGAGCCAGCAGAGGCAGGGACAAAUGGACACAGGUGGACAAAUGGACAUCAGAAGAAGGCGGGGACUAAAGAAAACACCCAAGGUUUGUGCUCUCUAAUGAGGAGGGAUUCCCGAGGUUUGUGCUCUCUAGUGAGAAGGGAUUCAUAUGUGGAUAGAAUGUGGAGUGUGGCCAAACUACAGGAUAGGGGCGAGGUCAUAAUCUUGGUAAUUGUUCAGUAAACAUUUGCCCGAUUUUUACAACAAAACAAAAC